rnacentral:lncRNA from 1 species
UGGUGCGCAAUGCACAUGAUGAACACAAUCAACACUUGAACCACCUUCCAAAGAAUAGGAAGGAUUUGGAACUCUGGACAAAUGAAUACCACUUGAGCGAUGACUCAAGUGAUGAGGACAAUGAUGAACUUGAAUUUCGGACACCAAAUCUUAAUAAGUUCAUUAAACAAAAAUCUAAAAUAAACAAUGAACUUGAACGGAGGAAGAGGCCAAAGAAAAGGAAGGCA